CAGCUCAAUUUCUGCAACAACUCUGACAGAAUUACUGAGCAGUGUAGCCUAAAGGGAGAAAGUGCAGCAACUUGAAACUGGGAAUGAGGUUCUGUGAGAGCUUGAGAAACAGUUUGCUGGAGAGAUGAGCUACAGAGCAACUUUCAACGCCAAGCUGGAGUGUUUAAAGAAGAAGAUGGGGAAUAGCCUAAACUACAUGACAAAUGGAAAUAUUUCAGGAAAUCUGACUAGCAUUAUGGUCAAAAAGCAAGCUAACAAGGCAUCUGAAGAACUACAAAGAUCAAGAAAAGAUCACAUUUUUCUGAAAUGCAGAACACAGCACUAUCAGAAUCAAAAGAGGGAACUCCAGGCUUGAAACAUUUUACAGGUGAUUCAUGAGGUGUAAAGGCAGACAUGAUACUACCAGGUCUCUGCUUUGUUUUUGAAGUUUAGCAUGCAAGUUUAGUGACCAGGUUGAUGUCUUUGUCAAUCAUUUUUCUCCUUUAAACAACCUGUGUAGCCAAGUUCCUGGGAUGGUUUGCAAAAAUGUUACUGUUGUAUGUAUGUUGAAUGAUACAAAUCUGCUAACCCACUAAUAAAAGAGGUUCCCUUCAUAAUA